UUUGGGUAUGUGGAAAUCCUUUCAUUCUGCGGCAUUCAACAUACAGUGUAAAUUUGUAUUCAUACAUAUGCCAAUCCUGUGGAAGACAUGGGACUUGGCACAGAGCCGGCGCCGAAUAGACGUCGUGAGCCAGCAAAAAGCCAACACAUAAGAUGGCACUCCCUGCGGAAAAUGUCCUCGCAACAUUAUUAAAAUGUUGUCAGGCAUUCCGAACAAGUCUCUGUGCAGUGGAGUUUAUUUCAUAUUUGCAGCCAACCAGAAUCACAUACAUAUAAUAUGUUGCAUGUUGCGACAGUAAAAGUAAAUGCAAUAUGGAAAAUACAAGUUGCCUUAUUGCCUUUAUAAAGCUCUUACGUUUUCCUGAUAUGAAAGUAUUUUCACUCUUUUGCAUAAGAAAGACCAUAUUAAGUGAACAUUAUGGCCGCAAAUAUUUGUCAACCAAGAUAUGACGAGAUACUUAGGAAUUGCUGCUGCCAGGAAGUAUAUAAAAAAUCGAACUGAAAUGGACAAAAUGAAAUGCUUCUCCAGUGUUCAGCAUCAGAUAUUAAGCGACAGCAUGAAUGGUGCUGCUUUUCCGUGGGGUUGGACUGGACCCCAAGGAUGGUCCAUUCGGGGGAUGAUGUUUUCACAGUUGGUUUCAGGGCCUUUUACCUGCGAAGCCAAGGAUUAACAACAGCGAUGCCCAACAAGUGUCGUUAUCUAAAUACCAGGGAUGACAAGAGAAAUAAUCCCACCAAAAUGAGUCACGUAGUAAAAUAGUACUGAUUUAUACAUUUUCUAAAUAUUUCAUAACGUUUUCAAUUACUUACAAUCAAGAAGUUUAUCACUUUAUUAAAUUACAUUUCAGCCUAUCGCAUUUACUUACAGGUGUAUCAUGGAAAACUUUACGAACAAAUUAAUAAUAAGCUAUUUAGUUUUGAAAUAUUAGCUAACAUUUUAAAAUUAUUAUCAAUUAAAUAUUUUCUGUAGGCUGCAUCCCUGGACUCAAACAUUACCUUGCAUAAUCGCCCCUCAUAAAUGAAAUCUUUUCCAAAAGCUUAUGAAUAUAGCCCCAGUUUGUGGACAGAGAUUUUGGAAGAGAAGCCUUUGCCCUGUAUCUUUUUAACGAAAACAAUAACUUCCGCAUGCCCCUUUGCUCUUCUUUAACGGGCUAAUGCGAGUUUCCCAACAAGUUUCAUGCAGCGUUGAAGUUUCCCCUGGAAAACCAGGUUGCCAAGCCGGGGAUGAGGAAAUGGGACGCGUGUGUUGCUAAUUAGAACACAUUUCUUCAAUUUAACCCCCCGCAAAAGUCAGGGAAAACACAAGCAAGUUUCGGGGAAAGCUAAAAACUCCGGGCACAGCUCGCUUUAAUGAAACAAAAUGGGGGUUGAAUACGCACUCGUGAUGAAUAUACGCGCAAUUAUACCUUAAGGUAAUCCACUGUCGUACCUUUGUUAUGUCGAUUCCAAUGAAAACACUUGAAACUUUUCGCAUGAAUGAUAUUGUUGAUGGCUCACGGACCGCGUUGUUGUAUUUGACAAAUAUUUAUGCUAAUAAAAGCGGCAUCACCGUAAAUAUGACCUCCCCUGAAACACUGUUGCUGCUCUUUGUGGCCAAAACUUUCCACGAAAGUUCAAACUCCUGUUGUGAGCCAUACAACCGAACAACCACUGGGGGACAACCCACUGAUGCGGUCGAUGAUGCGAACCUAGCCACACCAGUGAGCAACUAGCAAAGUGGGACCGGUUGGAAGGAUUUCAUCCUUUUAGAGUUUUAAUAUUUAACAAUUUAUUAUGUAUUUAGACCAAGCGAAAGUCUAAAAGCACAUUUGCCAUUGAGUAUUCAAGUUAAUCAUAAGCUGUCUUAAAUUAAUAAGCUUUGUAAUAGUUUACCACAAAAAUAUGUAUAUUUUUAAUGCAUGUGCUUAUUGUCCUAUUUUCGGCAAGUAUAAAAUAAACAAUUUAAUGCCUGCUUUAACCUAUUUUGUUUUUCAUUUCGCCAUGCCGAUGGAAACCGAACUGUUGCUCAAUUAGAAGUGCCGCAACCCUCUAGCCCAACGUUCUUUCCGGCUCGACUUUAUUAAAUUAACGUUUCAUGUUCGUUUAAUGAACAAAGGAAGACGAAAAUAAUGAUGCUCGAAAGGAAGAGGCGUGCCCCACAAGUGGGGAAGGGAAUUUUGGGGCAAGUCAACGUGUCGCAUACUCACCGAAAUACAAAAAUAAAAGACGCAAAUGCGAAAAACGCCGCAAGAUGUUGCCGUUGGUCCUGGUGUUGCUGCUGUUGUGGCUGCUUUUUGCGUAACAAGCCACUCUAAUGACAAUAUUGGCACUUACAACAACAAUAACAACAACCUCAACAGCCACAACAAACACAACAACAAUAAUAAUUUUUGUGGUUAUUACCAAGAUUACAACGGCAGAAGCAAUGACAACUUUUUGUGCCCCACUCCAAGGACACCUACACUUGGAAAUAAUUAGAUAAGUUUUUGAAUAUGUAAAUAUUUAUGUAAAUAUGUAACAUUUUUAAUUUAAAUUCCAAGAAUCCUAUUUUUAGAAUAACA